GGAGCCCGCCCUCCAGAGUUGAAAUGUUCUGAUCGGUGCAUAGAACUGGCAAAACAGACUAAUUAUGAACCAGAUCCCCUUACGUGUGGUCCCAUAGUUACUGAAUAUAGGAAAGCUGGGUGCGACGACCGAUGCCUGCUGUACCAGCCUAGACCUGCUUCAACAGAGGAAGGCGGAUCGGCUCGCAUCAACGCGCGAUCCCACUCGCGUAAAUUGGCUGCACAUCGUUCCAGACAUGCUCCUCUGCACCACCGCAGUAAUCACCACUAGAGGCAGAAGUGGCUUGUAUGAUGUUUCUAUACCUUGAGUAAUAUCAGCACCAUAUACAGAAAUAAUCUGCACAACAAUUAAAGAACUACCACAAAUUA